UACGGGAGGCAGCAGUGGGGAAUAUUGCACAAUGGGCGCAAGCCUGAUGCAGCCAUGCCGCGUGUAUGAAAAAGGCCUUCGGGUUGUAAAGUACUUUCAGUCGUGAGGAAGGUGUUAAGGUUAAUAACCUUAGCAAUUGACGUUAGCGACAGAAGAAGCACCGGCUAACUCCGUGCCAGCAGCCGCGGUAAUACGGAGGGUGUGAGCGUUAAUCGGAAUUACUGGGCGUAAAGGGCACGCAGGCGGUUAAUUAAGUUGGAUGUGAAAUCCCCGGGCUUAACCUGGGAAUGGCAUUCAAGACUGGUUAGCUAGAGUCUUGUAGAGGGGGUAGAAUUCCAUGUGUAGCGGUGAAAUGCGUAGAGAUGUGGAGGAAUACCGGUGGCGAAGGCGGCCCCUGGACAAAGACUGACGCUCAUGUGCGAAAGCGUGGGGAGCAAAC
rnacentral:rRNA from 1 species